rnacentral:lncRNA from 1 species
AGAUGGCAUCUCUUUCUGUUGCUCAGGCUGGAGUGCAGUAACGUGAUCUUGGCUGACUGCAGCCUUGACCUCCUGGGCUCAAGCAAUCCUCCUGCCUAUACCUCCCAAAUAGAUGAUACCACAGCAUUUCUCCUUGCUGCCGCCAGGUGAAGAAGGACGUGUUUGCUUCCCUUUCUGCCAUGAAUGUUUCCUGAGGCCUCUCCAGCCCUGUGGAAAUAAAUGAUUAUUAUUCUUCAAGAAGAAAUCCACUAACAGCAUCCUUUUCAGAAUGAAGAUCUGAAAAGGAAGAGAUUAUCUCCUCUUUAAUGCUGUAUCCCAAAGCCUAGAAGAACCAGAGACUUACUAGCUAAUCAAUAAAUAUUGCUGAGUAAAUAAAUGACAGACAUUUGCAUGCAGGCCUCAAGGAGCAGCUGAAGUGAUAGAGGUAGAAUGAGGCAAUAAAUUAUUAGCAAAGAGAGCGGAGUAUUUACAGGCAGCGAUAUACUAAUGAACCUAAAAAUUUGGAGAAUAUUUGGAAAAAUAAAAGAGCUUGCAUCCCUGGAAUGCAACGAAAAGAAAAGUGCUCAAAAAGUGAUAAUAUACACAGUGUCAAUUUGUUCACUGCUUUUUUGGAAUGUUUGAAAUUUAUUACAUCAUGGAUUGAACUUAGACUCCGGAGAACAUUUCUGAAGUCCUCUGAGUAAGCUUCUUGAAGCACCCUUCACUAGACUAGAGG